GUAACAAGGUUUCCGUAGGUGAACCUGCGGAAGGAUCAUUACAGUAGUCACCCGGGUUGCCGCAAGGCCUCUCGGGUAACCUACCACCCUUUGUUUAUUACACUUUGUUGCUUUGGCAGGCCUGCCUUCGGGCUGCUGGCUCCGGCCGGCGAGCGCUUGCCAGAGGAUCUAAACUCUGUUUGUCUAUACUGUCUGAGUACUAUAUAAUAGUUAAAACUUUCAACAACGGAUCUCUUGGUUCUGGCAUCGAUGAAGAACGCAGCGAAAUGCGAUAAGUAAUGUGAAUUGCAGAAUUCAGUGAAUCAUCGAAUCUUUGAACGCACAUUGCGCCCCCUGGUAUUCCGGGGGGCAUGCCUGUCCGAGCGUCAUUACAACCCUCAAGCUCUGCUUGGUGUUGGGCCCCGCCGCCCCGGCGGGCCCUAAAGUCAGUGGCGGUGCCAUCCGGCUCCGAGCGUAGUAAUUCUUCUCGCUCUGGAGGUCCGGUUGUGUGCUUGCCAUCAACCCCCAAUUUUUUUCAGGUUGACCUCGGAUCAGGUAGGGAUACCCGCUGAACCUAAGCAUAUCA
rnacentral:misc_RNA from 1 species